rnacentral:rRNA from 1 species
UCGUGCACAUCUAUCAUCUUUAAUACACACACCUGUGCACCUAUUGGAGAUCGAAAGAUCUAUGUUUAUUACACUACCAACAAUGUAUGUCCUAGAAUGUAAUAUAUUUUACAACUUUCAGCAAUGGAUCUCUUGGCUCUUGCAUCGAUGAAGAACGCAGCGAAUUGCGAUAAGUAAUGUGAAUUGCAGAUUUUCAGUGAAUCAUCGAAUCUUUGAACGCACCUUGCGCUCCUUGGUAUUCCGAGGAGCAUGCCUGUUUGAGUGUCAUUUAAUUAUCAACCGAGAGCGAUUUCGGAUUGGAAUUGGGUUUGCUGGCUUUGAGUAGUCAGCUUUCCUUAAAAGCAUUAGUGAGUGGAGUCUUGAUAUGCACGGCUUCUGACGUGAUUAAUGAUCGUCGGUGGGCUGGAAGUGUCAUUAGGAAGCUUGCUUUAACUAGUCGGGUGGAUAUAGUGAAUGGGAAGUGAGUGAAGGUAUUAAUGACAUUGCAAAGUGUUAUUAUACUGAGUGGAUUUUACUAGUGUGAAUCAUUAGCAUUAGGAAAUUCACUACCAAAGUGGCGUGCCGCGUGCGCGCCAUUAGGCAACUUACUACAUUGUGGGUGAAAGUG